UUUCAUAUAGCUCAGUUGCUAAAGCAUGAGACUGUCAAUCUCAGGGUCAUGGGUCCGAGCCUCACAUUGGGCAAAA